GCACUUACCUGGACGGGGUCGACGGCUGAUCAAGAAGGGCCGUGGCCUGGAUCAAUGGCUCACAUUGCACUUGGUUGAGCACGUUGGUCUACCAUCUCCCCAAGUGGGAGAGUGGACGUCGUAAUUUGUGCUAGAGGGGGUACGCGUUCGCGCGGCCCCUG
rnacentral:snRNA from 1 species